UGCGUAGGUGGCCUUUUAAGUUGGAUGUGAAAUACCCGGGCUUAACUUGGGGGUGCAUCUAAUACUGGAAGGCUAGAGUGCAGGAGAGGAAAGCGGAAUUCCUAGUGUAGCGGUGAAAUGCGUAGAUAUUAGGAGGAACACCAGUGGCGAAGGCGGCUUUCUGGACUGUAACUGACACUGAGGCACGAAAGCGUGGGGAGCAAACA
rnacentral:rRNA from 1 species